rnacentral:lncRNA from 1 species
CAGCCAACCCCCUCCCCAUCUGUUAACAAGGGGCUGAUGACAGCCUGAGAGCUUUCGGGAGGUGCUGCAGUGUCUGGCCCGUGCUUACCGCCCCAGGGCUCCGCAGGCUUGGACAGAGGGGGAGGGUGGACACACCACCAGCCUAGGGGUCCCCUCGACCCACAGGCUUAGCGGCUGGACCGUCUCACCAGACCGUGUCCCACAGGCCAAGCACCUGGCUAGCCAGUACUGGGGGUGCAGCCGCACAAUGGCCGGCCGUCGGGACCCCAGCCUGCCCUACCUGGAGCAGUACCGGAUUGAUGCCAGCCAGUUCCGGGAACUCUUUGCCAGCCUGACACCCUGGGCCUGUGGCUCCCACACACCUCUGCUGGCAGGGCGCAUGUUCAGGCUCCUGGACGAAAACAAGGACUCGCUGAUCAACUUCAAGGAGUUCGUGACAGGGAUGAGCGGGAUGUACCACGGGGACCUGACAGAGAAGCUCAAGGUGCUCUACAAGCUACACCUUCCCCCAGCUCUGAGCCCAGAGGAAGCCGAGUCAGCCCUGGAGGCGGCCCAUU